rnacentral:rRNA from 1 species
AUUGAACGCUGGCGGCAGGCCUAACACAUGCAAGUCGAGCGGCAGCGGGAAAGUAGCUUGCUACUUUUGCCGGCGAGCGGCGGACGGGUGAGUAAUGCCUGGGAAAUUGCCCAGUCGAGGGGGAUAACAGUUGGAAACGACUGCUAAUACCGCAUACGCCCUACGGGGGAAAGCAGGGGACCUUCGGGCCUUGCGCGAUUGGAUAUGCCCAGGUGGGAUUAGCUAGUUGGUGAGGUAAUGGCUCACCAAGGCGACGAUCCCUAGCUGGUCUGAGAGGAUGAUCAGCCACAGUGGAACUGAGACACGUGCCAGACUCCUACGGGAGGCAGCAGUGGGGAAUAUUGCACAAUGGGGGAAACCCUGAUGCAGCCAUGCCGCGUGUGUGAAGAAGGCCUUCGGGUUGUAAAGCACUUUCAGCGAGGAGGAAAGGUUGAUGCCUAAUACGUAUCAACUGUGACGUUACUCGCAGAAGAAGCACCGGCUAACUCCGUGCCAGCCGCCGCAGUAAGAC